rnacentral:sRNA from 1 species
UGUCUUGUUUGCUGAGCUGGGGAAACUUGGGCCCUGCCUUGUAGUUUUUAAGAGUUUCUCUAAAUCCAGGUUGAGUGGACUCUCCCUGCCCUGGCUGGACCUGCAGACCAAACUAGGGCACGUUCAGAGCCAUGAGGGAGGGGCAGCUACAGUGGGUGAGGGCGAGAGGGGAGACAGGGCCCCCCCAAGCCCAGGGGGUGAGUCAGGGAGGACGAGGCAUUGUGUGUUGUGGCACAGGCUGCAAGGGACUCCUCCAGCCACCCCUGAGCAAUUGGAUGUGGCCCAGCUGAUAACAAAGCACUGGAAUGCAGGAGCGUGGGACACAAAGUGGAGCUUGAAUGGAACAGAGAAGGCUCACUGAGCAAUUUCUUGCAGUUGCCUGGAUUUGUUUCCUCCAAGAGGCAGCUCUAGGCUUCCACUUCCCCACGUAUAAACAGAGAGAGAGUUGGCCAGGAGACUCUGCUGCUGUUUUCUGGGCUUCUUAAGUGUCCAGUCCCUGCCCUGCACAGGUGGGAUUCUCAGAAACACAGAGAGUAGCCUGAUCUUCAACCCUUGCUCCUGACCACCCAUAUCUUUGGGCAGCCCCACCCUCUUGCUGGCCAAACCAGAUGCUCUUAUCUUCCCGGAAAGCCUAAGAGUUAGGACUACCCUUGAUUCCUUUCACCCAGAAAAUGACACCGGGAUAAGGACUCUCUUAGGCCUGUCCUGGGUGUCCCAUUCCCUGGAUUCACCCCAGCCCCAUUCUUGGUCUCAUUGCAGCUCCUUGGAGAUCCAGUGGUGCUGCAUUCCUUGAGCCGGCUUUUGCCGAGGGGAAAUGUGGCUGCAUCCCUGUCCCAGAAAGCUUCCCUGGCCCCUACUUCUCUCCACAAGGCCAAGAGACUGAAGAGUCCCCAGUUUCUGAGGAUGCCCUGAACCCUUGGUGCCUCAUGCCCUAGAUUGAGUGUGGGUUUCUCCCUCAUUCUUGAGUGAUGAUAGGAAAGCUGGCCUGACUGCCCCAUGGCCUGGGACCUUUGUCCCAGAGAAGAAAGGCAGGCGCAGGGCAUCACUGUUGUCCUGUUCCACUUCACAGGAGUGGAGGGAGUGACAGCUUUCCACUUGGCCCCGACCCCAGUCCUUCCUACUGCUCCCCAGGGCCACCCAGUGCUAAAGGUAACCUCAGCCAAGUGUGAAUAACGUUCAGGGACUUCGGUGGCUCCUGUGGGUGGCAGUUUCUGAAUCUAGAACUGCUGUCCAGGGUUUGCCCUUAGUGCAGGCGCCUGUGGCCUGCCCUCCAGGCUUCUGCCACAGGGUUCAGGGAGUGAUCUUUGCCUCAAGACAGCCGCCAGCUUCAACUACACCGGAUAACGGCUGUGGCUUUGUGUGUGUGUGUGUGUGUUUUCUUUCUCUUUCGUCGUCCUUUUUUUUUUUCUCUCUGAUGCGUGUGAAGGAGAGGACUAGAAGGAACGGUUCCCACCUCUCGGAGGACAACGGACCCAAAGCGAUCGAUGUGAUGGCACCCUCCUCAGAGUUGACUGCAUUCAGCCAGUGCCAAAAGAGGAGCCCAGUCCCGCUACCAAAUUCCAGUCCAUCGGGGUUCAGGUAGAGGACGACUGGCGAAGCAGCGUCCCCUCUCACAGUAUGUCCUCCCGACGGGACACAGACUCGGAUACCCAGGAUGCCAAUGACUCAAGCUGUAAGUCGUCUGAGAGGAGCCUCCCGGACUGUACCCCUCACCCCAACUCCAUCAGCAUCGAUGCCGGUCCCCGGCAGGCCCCCAAGAUUGCCCAGAUCAAGCGCAACCUCUCCUAUGGAGACAACAGCGACCCUGCCCUAGAGGCGUCCUCGCUGCCCCCACCCGACCCCUGGCUCGAGACCUCCUCCAGCUCCCCAGCAGAGCCGGCACAGCCAGGGGCCUGCCGCCGAGACGGCUACUGGUUCCUAAAGCUACUGCAGGCAGAAACAGAGCGGCUGGAAGGCUGGUGCUGCCAGAUGGACAAGGAGACCAAAGAGAACAACCUCUCUGAAGAAGUCUUAGGAAAAGUCCUCAGUGCUGUGGGCAGUGCCCAGCUACUGAUGUCCCAGAAAUUCCAGCAGUUCCGGGGCCUCUGUGAGCAAAACUUGAACCCUGAUGCCAACCCACGCCCCACAGCCCAGGACCUGGCAGGGUUCUGGGACCUGCUACAGCUGUCCAUCGAGGACAUCAGCAUGAAGUUUGAUGAACUCUACCACCUCAAGGCCAACAGCUGGCAGCUGGUGGAGACCCCCGAGAAGAGGAAGGAAGAGAAGAAACCACCCCCUCCGGUCCCAAAGAAGCCAGCCAAAUCCAAGCCGGCAGUGAGCCGCGACAAGGCCUCAGACGCCAGCGACAAGCAGCGCCAGGAGGCCCGCAAGAGACUCCUGGCGGCCAAGCGGGCAGCUUCUGUGCGGCAGAACUCAGCCACCGAGAGCGCAGACAGCAUCGAGAUUUAUGUCCCGGAGGCCCAGACCAGGCUCUGAGACCACGCAGGAGGAAAGAAACGAUUUUAAAUCAUUAAAAACACAAAAACUAAGUGCGAAUGGAACAGAGUUUUCUCAACCUUUGCUAUGGUUAUUCUGUCUAGAGACCCUGAGCCAACUUUCAAAUUGACACAUACAAGGGCUCACAAUUUGGCUUUUUUGGGUCCCUCCCAGCUUUAGGUUAUGAAGAUUUUACUCAC